rnacentral:sRNA from 1 species
AAGGUCAGACCCUGGAGUUCCUGGUGGCCUCUGUGCCGAAGGCCAUGGACUAUGACCUGCUGCUGCGCUUAGAGCCCCAGGUUAGACCCUGUUAUCUAAUGUGGAGCUGAGCCUCUGGAUGUGGGAGCCUCUCCUCCAUCAUCCUGUUUUCCCAGGUCCCUGAGCAAUGGGCAGAGUUGGAACUGAUUGUGCAGCGUCCAGGGCCUGUGCCUGCCCACAGCCUGUGUGGGCAUUUGGUGGCCAAGGAUGACCGCAUCCAAGGGACUCUGCAACCACACGCCAGGUACAUGAUGUUUCCUAAUCCUGUCUGCCUUGAGCCUGGUAUCUCCUACAAGCUGCAUCUGAAGCUGGUACGGACAGGGGGAAGUGCCCAGCCUGAGACUCCCUACUCUGGACCUGGCCUGCUCAUUGACUCGGU